GAUGAAGAACGUAGCGAAAUGCGAUACGUAAUGUGAAUUGCAGAAUUCAGUGAAUCAUCGAGUCUUUGAACGCCCAUUGCGCCCCCUGGUAUUCCGGGGGGCAUGCCUGUCCGAGCGUCAUUGCUGCCCUCAAGCACGGCUUGUGUGUUGGGCCUCCGUCCUCCUCCCGGGGGACGGGCCCGAAAGGCAGCGGCGGCACCGCGUCCGGUCCUCGAGCGUAUGGGGCUUCGUCACCCGCUCUUGUAGGCCCGGCCGGCGCUUGCCGACACAUCAAUCUUUUUUCCAGGUUGACCUCGGAUCAGGUAGGGAUACCCGCUGAACUUAAGCAUAUCAAUAAGCGGAGGA
rnacentral:misc_RNA from 1 species